GACAGGGGGGACGAAGUAUUAUUCGGAAUGACUGGGCGUAAAGAGUAUGUAGGCGGCUUGCUACGUUGAUAGUGAAAGACCAAAAAGCUAUUUUGGAUAUACAAUCAAUACGGGCAAACUAGAGUUCGAGAGGGGAUAAUGUAAUUCCUAGUUGAGCAAUAAAAUGCGCAUUUAGAUUAGGAGGAAGGCCACUUAGCGAAAGCAAUUAUCUGGCUCGUCAUACUGACGCUGAGAUACGAAAGCACGGGGGAGC
rnacentral:rRNA from 1 species